AGAAAGAAGCACACAGUUUGAUCUAGUAACACCCAGACCGCAAAAUGUGGAUUCAUGAAGCAGUUAGUGUUAUAACGGGCAGAAAACACAACCGGGAUGGUGGAGCGAAGGAGAAAUCAACACUUAUGGAGCCAUGAGGAGAUGGCAGGUUGAUGGUGAGAAGAUCUCAGAGACCGUGAAAUGAAGAACGACGUCUAAGCAGAGAACAGAUGUGUGGAUUUUCCGUUUAAAGGAAGUCUUCACUGCUGUGGACCUGAAUUCAAGUUUAGAGAUAUGAGUACAAAAAUGUUGACGUCAUAGGGGGGACCAAACACAACAUGCUCCAAAGUCAAAGAUGACUGACAACACAAAAUCACAGUGUGUCACAGCAGCUGCUCUGCAGCAGAGAAGAGGGUGCUGUAGAGGGUGGUGAAGGCUGAACAGAAGACUGAGAGUGCAUCCUACACUCCAACUCGGGCAUUUACACCACCAGAUGCAGGAAAAGGUCCUCCUGUAUCAUGAAGGAUCCUACAUAUCCUGCGCACACACUGUUUUUCCUUCUUCCCCCGGACAGGAGGCUGAGGAGCAUCAGGAGCAGAACCACCAGACUGAGAUGCAGCUUCUGCCCUGAAGCUGUGAGGCUGCUUGACUCUGAUGGACUUCUGCUCAGCUAGACUAGACAUUCAAACUUUGCAAAGAUGAUGUGUUCACUACUAGUACUUAAGCUGCUGCCCUUCCUUAAGAUGUAAUAACUUUGGAUACUGUUUUAAAUUAUGCUUUUAUACUCAUAUACUUUAUACUCUUUAUUCUAUUUAAUUUAUUUGGUUAAACACUAUGUAAAUGUGAUGGUAUGACAAUACCCUUGAAUCCUAAAUAAAACAGGAUGAGAUCAGAAAAAUAAACUAAUCUUCCAAUUGUUUUGUUAUUCUCAUCCUCAAUUGAAAUGACAGUCCCGUAUUUUAUUUGCGGUUGAAUAUAUUAUACCUGUGCUGAAUACUGUCAGAAAAUAUGAAACCAUUGAUUUGACCUC